AGGGUUCGAUUCUGGCUCAGGAUGAACGCUAGCGGCACGCUUCAUACAUGCAAGUCGAGGGGCAGCAUAAAGUACUUGUACUUUGAUGGCGACCGGCGAACGGGUGCGUAACGCGUAUGCAACUUACCUUUUACUAGAGAAUAGCCAAGAGAAAUUUUGAUUAAUGCUCUAUACACUUCUUAACUCACAUGAGUUUUUAAGAAAAGCUCCGGCGGUAAAAGAUGGGCAUGCGUCCUAUUAGCUUGUAGGUGAGGUAACGGCUCACCUAAGCUCCGAUAGGUAGGGGUCCUGAGAGGGAGAUCCCCCACACUGGUACUGAGACACGGACCAGACUUCUACGGAAGGCAGCAGUAAGGAAUAUUGGACAAUGGAGGAAACUCUGAUCCAGCGAUGCCGCGUGAAGGAAGACUGCCCUAUGGGUUGUAAACUUCUUUUAUACAGGAAGAAACCUUUCCACGUGUGGAGAGCUGACGGUACUGUAAGAAUAAGGAUCGGCUAACUCCGUGCCAGCAGCCGCGGUAAUAC
rnacentral:rRNA from 1 species